UGCGUAGGUGGCGCGGUAAGUCGGGUGUGAAAUUUCGGAGCUCAACUCCGAAACUGCAUUCGAUACUGCCGUGCUUGAGGACUGGAGAGGAGACUGGAAUUUACGGUGUAGCAGUGAAAUGCGUAGAGAUCGUAAGGAAGACCAGUGGCGAAGGCGGGUCUCUGGACAGUUCCUGACACUGAGGCACGAAGGCCAGGGAGCAAACG
rnacentral:rRNA from 1 species